CCCUAGCCCCGAUUGCAGUGGAAAUCCUUUUUUGCGCUUGCGGAAAGUUCUAUUUAGAGCGAAAUUGUCGGGCAAAAAAGAUUGCAACGGAAAGCGGGAAAUAGC
rnacentral:sRNA from 1 species